GAAAGAUUUAUGAAAACCCUUUCAGGGCUGUUGUAUUUCAGGCUAGUGAUACAGAUGCUGUGAGAACAUUUGGAAGGGUCCCGUUCACAGGGCACAAACUUCACCAGCGCCAGAAAUGGCCUCUAAGGAAAGUAGGACAGGCGAGGCAGAAGCCCCCUAUGCAUCGCUGGCUCCCUCUAACCAAGCUGCUGGUCCCUAAAGACCUCUCUGGCUUUGGGAAAUGCUGACUGACAGAAGAUAAACGGGCAAAGGGCAGGAGGGCCCAGGGAACAGCAACCAUCCUGCCCUCCCCUCCCCUCCCGUCCCCACCUGGCUCUUACCACCAAAGUCCUCUUAGCUCUGGGUGGCCCCUGUUUGCCCUUCAGAGAGGUGGGCACAGCCGCUUCCACUGGCCUCCCUGUCUUGCGGGGUAUUUAUUUUAUCAAACCUUGUUUUAGCACCAACCCUAGGGUGAGGGGCCUCAAGGAACCUGAAAGGAAACAGCCAAUGGGAAGGAAUCCCCAGCUGGAGAUUGUGAGGAGAGAAGGUACUAUAAACAAAGUGGCUUUCCGCCGACCGACCCAGGAACUAGAGUCCUCAUCCAGUGGCUGAUGGAAGCAGAGACAGACAUCCACAAAUAUACACUGAGCUGAAAUCUGGAAUUUAGUUGGAGAGAGAGAGGAAUGAAGAGCGAAGGGGUCUGUACCAAGUUGGAGAAACCCACAGGAACAGUUGGCCUGAACAAGGGAGAGCACAUCGACCCCAGAUGCUAUCUGGGAGGCCAGUACAAGACUGAUCCAGACCCCUGAACAUGGAUGCCAAUAAGGAGGCCUCUGCACUCCAGGGAGCCUCUGGUGGUGGAUUAGUAUUUUUCCCUGGUGCAAGAAGGGACUUUGAGAGCCCAUCCCAUGUAAAGGGUUACACUCUGGCCCUGGACACAUGGGGAAGGGCCCAGGACCAGCACAGGAAGAUUUAACUAAUAAAUAAAUUUUUAAAAAAAAAAGGAAAAAAAAAAGUGAUUUGAUAGCCUGAGUGCUACACACGUGUUAUCACUAACUAUUGUACCUUAUAAGUUUUUGUAAAGAGUACGCUUGCCUUUUGUUUCAGCAACAAGUUUGAAGACUAUUGAUUCUAUUCACAGCCAAAGGGAUAUUAUAAAUAAUAAUAUAAGGUCUGAAAUUAAAUUAGUUCCUAUUGAUGGGUGAUUCUAACAUUCCUAAGACCCUUCCAGAAUUUUAUCUCUAUUUUACUGAAGGGGCAAGGUGAACCAAGACAUAGGAGCCAGAGGGAAGAAAGAAACAUCUGGAAAAUAUCAGCCUAAGAAGACUAAACAUGCCUGGAGAAGGGUAACUACAUCCUUCUGAAAAUCAUGGUUACCACGGUCCCCUUUGCCCCACAUCCUAGUGCUGCUGGGAUGGGCAGCCUGUGCUCCCUAAUUUUAGGCUCAUGAUAGACACAGCUGAGAUAAGAAUGGGGAUGGUUCCGAAUAGAAAGAAACGCUACCUUGUCAGUCACACAUGGCCUUGCCUGUCCUUCUGAGGAAUCAUUUUCCCCCUCCCUACCCUACAGCAUCUGUCUUGCCUUGCCCCACCCCCCAGGCC
rnacentral:lncRNA from 1 species